rnacentral:rRNA from 1 species
ACUAGCAGUAAGAGUUUGAUCAUGGCUCAGAACGAACGCUGGCGGCACGCCUAACACAUGCAAGUCGAACGAGACCUUCGGGUCUAGUGGCGCACGGGUGCGUAACGCGUGGGAAUCUGCCCUUGGUUCGGGAUAACAGUUGGAAACGACUGCUAAUACCGGAUGAUGACUUCGGUCCAAAGAUUUAUCGCCCAGGGAUGAGCCCGCGUCGGAUUAGCUAGUUGGUGAGGUAAAGGCUCACCAAGGCGACGAUCCGUAGCUGGUCUGAGAGGAUGAUCAGCCACACUGGGACUGAGACACGGCCCAGACUCCUACGGGAGGCAGCAGUGGGGAAUUUUGGACAAUGGGCGAAAGCCUGAUCCAGCGAUGCCGCGUGGGUGAAGAAGGCCUUCGGGUUGUAAAGCCCUUUCGGCAGGGAAGAAAAGUCCGAAGCUAAUACCUUCGGGUCUUGACGUUACCUGCGGAAGAAGCACCGGCUAACUCCGUGCCAGCAGCCGCGGUAAUAC